rnacentral:rRNA from 1 species
AUUGAACGCUGGCGGCAGGCCUAACACAUGCAAGUCGAACGAGUGGCGGACGGGUGAGUAAUGUCUGGGAAACUGCCUGAUGGAGGGGGAUAACUACUGGAAACGGUAGCUAAUACCGCAUACCAUCGGAUGUGCCCAGAUGGGAUUAGCUAGUAGUUGGGGUAAAGGCUCACCUAGGCGACGAUCCCUAGCUGGUCGGAGAGGAUGACCAGCCACACUGGAACUGAGAAACGGUCCAGACUCCUACGGGAGGCAGCAGUGGGGAAUAUUGGACAAUGGGCGAAAGCCUGAUGCAGCCAGGCCGCGGGUAUGAAGAAGGCCUUCGGGUUGUAAAGAACUUUAAGCGGGGAGGCGUUACCCGCAGAAUAAGCACCGGCUAACUCCGUGCCAGCGGCCGCGGUAAUAC